GACGAACGCUGGCGGCGUGCUUAACACAUGCAAGUCGAGCGGUAAGGCUCCUUCGGGAGUACACGAGCGGCGAACGGGUGAGUAACACGUGAGCAAUCUGCCCUUCACUUUGGGAUAACCACCGGAAACGGUGGCUAAUACCGAAUACGACCACUUCAGGCAUCUGAUGGUGGUGGAAAGUUCCGGCGGUGAAGGAUGAGCUCGCGGCCUAUCAGCUUGUUGGUGAGGUAAUGGCUCACCAAGGCUUCGACGGGUAGCCGGCCUGAGAGGGUGACCGUCCACACUGGGACUGAGACACGGCCCAGACUCCUACGGGAGGCAGCAGUGGGGAAUAUUGGACAAUGGGCGAAAGCCUGAUCCAGCAACGCCGCGUGAGGGAUGACGGCCUUCGGGUUGUAAACCUCUUUCAGCGGGGACGAAGCGAAAGUGACGGUACCCGCAGAGGAAGGACCGGCCAACUACGUGCCAGCCGCCGCCGUAACAC
rnacentral:rRNA from 1 species